rnacentral:rRNA from 1 species
CAGUAGCCGCGGGAAAACGAAGGGGGCUAGCGUUACUCGGAAUUACUGGGCGUAAAGCGUGUGUAGGUGGUUGUUUAAGUCUGUCGUGAAAGCCCUGGGCUCAACCUGGGAAUUGCGAUGGAUACUGGGCGACUAGAGUGCGGUAGAGGAUAGUGGAAUUUCCGGUGUAGCAGUGAAAUGCGUAGAGAUCGGAAGGAACAUCAGUGGCGAAGGCGGCCAUCUGGGACGAGACUGACGCUCAUGCACGAAAGCGUGGGGAGCAAACAGGAUUAGAUACCCGCGUAGUCCCUGUCUCUUAUAC